rnacentral:lncRNA from 1 species
AGGAGUAUCAGAAACGUAGUCGUGAUUGCAGAAGUGGAGAGGAGAGACUGAAUUUACAGAAGAAUUUACCCUUUUUUCUUUUCUCGUGAUAUCUCUGCCUCUUCUCAUAAUUAUACCAACCUUAUUUCUUUAGACCUAGACACUGCCAACUAAAAAUCAGCUAUUUUCAAAGGCCAAAGCAAAUUACAUUAUUCUCCUGUUGAAGUUGCAGAAGGAAACUUUGCUUUAAGUUUUACAACUUCAGGUGAAAAUUAAAC